GUUAGCGGCGGGCUUAACACAUGCAAGUCGAGCGAGAAAGGGGCUUCGGCCCUGAGUACAGCGGCGGACGGGUGAAUAACACGUAGGUAACCUUCCUUUCAGCGGGGGACAACGGUCCGAAAGGACCGCUAAUACCGCAUACGUUCCCUAGGACCUCGGUCCUGGGGAGGAAAGGCCCGCAAGGGCCACUGGAUGAGGGGCCUGCGUAGCAUCAGCUAGUUGGUGGGGUAAUGGCCUACCAAGGCGAAGACGCUUAGCUGGUCUGAGAGGAUGAUCAGCCACACUGGGACUGAGACACGGCCCAGACUCCUACGGGAGGCAGCAGUGGGGAAUAUUGGACAAUGGGCGCAAGCCUGAUCCAGCCACGCCGCGUGAGUGAUGAAGGCCUCGGUCGUAAGACUCUGUGGGGAGGGGACGGAACGGGACGGCC
rnacentral:rRNA from 1 species